UACAGAGGGUGCAAGCGUUAAUCGGAAUUACUGGGCGUAAAGCGUGCGCAGGCGGUUAUGUAAGACAGGUGUGAAAUCCCCGGGCUUAACCUGGGAACUGCGCUUGUGACUGCAAGACUCGAGUACGGCAGAGGGGGGGUAGAAUUCCACGUGUACCAGUGAAAUGCGUAGAGAUGUGGAGGAAUACCGAUGGCGAAGGCAGCCCCCCUGGGUCGAUACUGACGCUCAUGCACGAAAGCGUGGGGGAGCAAACAGG
rnacentral:rRNA from 1 species